rnacentral:lncRNA from 1 species
UCUAGACAGAGGAAGGUGGGCGGCAAACCACCUUCCUAUGAGCCCCAUGGUGUGCUCGCUGGGCCCUCAACACAAACAUUUUUCAGCAGAGCCAAGCCUUGGAGCUUAUCCUGAGGCCACUGGAGUCCAGUAACUCAUGGUGUUCACCAUUGGGUCUGACUCCGGUGCAUCAUGACAGCUGCUGUGCACACCUAAGAGGAGUGUGGGCUGUGGUUCUCGCCUUCCACCUGCAUCAAAUCCAGGGGAACACAGUCUCUGAGUGAGAAGGGUUCGUGGCCUUAGAUCCAGCACUGCCUCCUGCCCAUCGCAGAGUGAGCCCUGUACAUCAUCACCAAGUGAGGUGCUUUAGAGCAGACUCCCGCACCAUAUAGACCCUCCCUCCAGUGUCUGGUUUCUGCUUGAGAACGUUCACAUUCAGGAAGCCCUCCACUCUGGCAGCCCAUUCCAUUGUUGAAUCCUUCCAGCUCCUAGAGACCUUUCCUUCCACACCUAACUUCCUUGUAACCUCACCACGGGCCCAGCUUCUGCCCUUAGGAGCUAGGAUGAAAUCAACUGCACAGACCCAAUGCCAGGUCUCUAGGUUGGAGACAUCCCAGCUGAAUCCUGGCCCCCUUCUCUGGCCUUCAUUAUCCCUGUUCCUUCAGUCACCACUCAGGUGCAUUUGUUUUGAGACUACCUCGUCACUGUAUUGCAGAGGCAAGACUGGCACCAGUGGUUAAGCAAUAAUAUGAGC